rnacentral:lncRNA from 13 species
AUGGAGUCUCAUUUUGUUGUCCAGGCUGGAGUGCGCGAUCUCGGCUCACUGCAACCUUCACCUCCCAGAUUCAAGUGAUUCUUGUGCCUCAGCCACCCACAUAGUUGAAAUUAUACACAUGUGCCACUACACCCAGACAGGGUCUUGCUCUGUCACUCAGGCUGGAGUGCAGUGGCCACUAUAUUGCCCAGAACAGCCUUGAACUCCUGGCCUCAAGCGAUGCUCCAGCCUCGGCCCCCAAAGCACUGGGAUUACAGGCUGGAGUCCUCUGGAGCUUCACGGGAUGCUGGGAAGGCUGCCUCCUCUCACUCCCACACUGCUGCAGGGCACUGCCUCCCCAUGUGGCCUCUCCAGCAGGGUUGCUGAGCUUCAUACACUGCAUUUCGGGACUCCUAAAAGUACAAAAAUGGAUCUGCCCAGUCCUCUUAAAUCGUGGGUCUGGAGCUGACACAGCACCACAUCUGGCAUCAUGCAUUGAAAUGGGGCUGAUGGGGCAUGGAUGCUCCAAGCUAAUCCUCAUACUGGUGUGAUUAAGGGCAUUAGCCUGGAAGCCAGACAGACCCAGCUGUGUCGUUUACUAGGCUGGAGUGCAAUGGCGUGGUCUCCACUCACUGCAACCUCCACCUCCCGAGUUCAAACGAUUACGUUUCCUCAGCCUCCAGAGUAGCUGGGACUACAAGGCGUGCACCACCAUGCCAGGCUAGUUUUUGUAUUUUUAGUAGAGACGGGGUUUCACCAUGUUGGCUGUGGCUGGUCUUGAACUCCUGAUCUCAAGUGAUCCUCCCACCUUGGCCUCCCAUUACAGGGAUGAGCCACCACGCAGGCCAAUCUUAGAGAAGAUUCUGAUUGGUCCAGCCUGGGUCACAUGCCUGUCUACUGAGCCAAUCCAGUAGCCAGGAGCAGAAGCCACUCUGACCAGCCUUAGCUAUAUGGAGAGAUGGGAAGAGACAGGACUACCUGAAGUUCUCCCAGAGGAACGUAGAGAAGAGGAGAUGAAAAUGUACAUUGUGGCCAGGUGCG